CGGCGGAGUCACCCACACUCCCUCCGCUCUCGCCCCCACAGCCACACAACCGACGGCCUCGUCUCCCACCGCCGCCGCCGCCUCUCUCUCGCACGCCUCGCCGGCACCUCUCCCUCACCCGCGUCACCGGCGCCUCUCCCUCUCGGGCCGUUGUUGCCUCUCCGUUGGCCCCAUCGUUGUCGCCCCUGACGUGCCGCGGCGCCGUGACCCGGCCUCACAGGCACGACCAGGGUGACAACAGCUCCCCGACGCCGCCGCCUUCCGCAAGGAGCGACGACAGCUCGAAGCUCUGCGGCACGGCGUGCGCUGAGCGACGCGCCGCGGGGGCACCACCGCCUCAGCCACCGGCGUGGCCGACCACCCGUCCACGUCCCCAUCGCUGCCGCCGGCCGGCCACACGACCUCACGCUCGUCCAGCUCGAAGCACGCGCUGUCGUGGCCCGCCUCCGGCUGCUUCAGCAGGCCAAGAAACCGAAACGCCCCCCACGCCCGGCGACCUCGGCAUCUCCAUGGACCGUCUCAGCAAGCGCUACCUCGCCCGGCUCCCGCAUUGCUGAUGCAAGCCAAGAAACAGGGAGUGCCGGCAGUAGUACUCUGAAUCCAUCAAUGCAACUGAAUCCAAACAUGUGAAUCAAGUUGUGGCAGUUUGUGUUCUUCACUGGUGGCAUCGUGUUUCUGACACUGAUAUUGAAUGGUUCUACCACAUAAUUUUGGCUACACGCACUUGGUAUGGACAACCUGUCAGUAACAAAGGGCAUAUUUCCUUCACAGGUGUGCAAGCCAGUUACUGGGCAAUGCUUGACGAGGGACGGAUAAAUGCAGCUACAGCCAAUAUUUUGAUGCGCUCAGUUGAUGAAGCUAUGUAUCUUGUUUCUAGCCGUCCGUUAUGCGAUUGGAACAGUUUGCAGUCCAAUGUCCAUUUCCCAAGUUACUACAGAAUGAAGGUCAACAAGACGGGGUAGAGGGUAUACCUGGACUUCCUUGGGGAUGUAGAUCAACAAGAGGUGGUAGAGGUCAACAUGAGAAGAUCAAAUAAGAACUAUUUGAUAAUGCACGUUAUUUACAAAAGCCCCAUACCUGGAGUAAUUGGGUAAUACUCGUCAAUGUUGUGACUCGGUGUGGGCACGAUUUCAGGGAUGGAUUCGUCGACAUUUAUACCCUCAUUAUGGCCUGUAACACGGUAGUUAUAUGCAAUGUUGUGUUUACACCAGAAUGAAGGUGAACAAGACGGGGUAGAGGUAAACCUGGACUUCCUUGGGGAUGUAGAUCAACAAGAGGGGGUAGAGGCCAACAUGAGAAGCCAGAGUAGAGGUCCAUUUCAAAGUAAACGUACAGGAGGACGAAGCUACCAACUGCUUACAGGAAAAGCUUGAACCUGGUCGAGCUGGGAACACUGAUAAAGAAAAGGUGUAAUUUAGCUUUGCGUAAAAUUCAGAGAAGUUGCAUAUGUAUAAAUUGUAUGAUUCACAAGUCCGAAAACCUUCAAGUGUCUUAUUGAAUGUGCUGCCGGCGGAAGCAUAAAAAAUCAUCAUACGUAUAGGAAGG